UGAAUUAGUUAGCCCCAUAUGGUUCCUAUUAAGUAUCUUAGAGCAUCUCCAACGGGAGAAAAAUGGAGCUCUCAUGACAGUCUCUCUAAAUUAUUGUGGAAAAAAAUAAAUCAUAAAGGUUUAAUACUGAGAGAAUCGUUUCUCUUAAGAGAGAUUUUGGAGCUGAAGAGAGACGCAUACGUGUCGUUGUUUUUCAGUAUUUCUUUUUUUUUUCCGUUUUUUUUCUCUACUAUCAUCUUUUCACUGGGACUUUGAGGAUCAUUGGACUUACCUGAAACGAGCUGGCCGACGUUGAUUUCGGUAGGCUUAUCGGCUCUGAGAUUCAUGGAUUCCAUACUUUGCAAGAAUUUAGGGACAUUUUAGGUUGAUUAAGGGAUCUUGGCUUUGAUUUGAGAUACCCAUCUAACGUGAAGAAGCUAGUGAAGUAUAUUUCAACCCCACCUGUGAGAGAGCUUCAGGGGAUAAUCCAUUUGGGUGGGUAUUUUUCUGGCUGUACCACUUGCAGUUUCUCAAAAGUGAGUGAAGGAACUCAUUUUGGUUGAUUAUACUCUGAGUGAAGGAACUCAUUUUCGUUGGUUCUGCUCUUCUAAGUGAAGAGGGCUUACAAGCUUGGAAAGCAAGUUUCCAACAGAGUAAUAUCAUGUCUGACCGGAACCAUACAACGGAACAUUCCACAUAUCGUUUUACAUUUCUAUUGACCUUGACCUUUAUGUUUUAAUUUGUCAAGAAGUCUACUGCAUUUCUAUUCUCUCCUAUCUCAUUCCUCUUUAUUUACUUGCUUUCACAUGGUAAGGAAUUGUGAAUAUAUGGUCUCAGCCUCUCAUGUUAGACAUUUCUUCUAUGAUUCUCAUUUUUUCUAUUGUGAAUAAUUUUUUU
rnacentral:lncRNA from 1 species